GCGGGAGUGGCGGAAAGGUAGACGCUUCGGACUUAGGAUCCGAUGGGGAUUAUCCCCGUGGGGGUUCAAAUCCCCCCUCCCGCA
rnacentral:tRNA from 1 species